rnacentral:rRNA from 1 species
GACGUAGGGGGCCAGCGUUGUUCGGAAUUACUGGGUGUAAAGGGUUCGUAGGCGGUGUGGCAAGUCGGGAGUGAAAUCUCUGGGCUCAACUCAGAGACUGCUUCCGAAACUGCUGUGCUGGAGUGUGGGAGAGGCGCGUGGAAUUGCAGGUGUAGCGGUGAAAUGCGUAGAUAUCAGGAGGAACACCUACGGCGAAGGCAGCUCGCUGGGACGGUACUGACGCUGAGACGCGAAAGCGUGGGGAGCAAACAGG